rnacentral:rRNA from 1 species
GUAUUCAACGGCGAAACUGCGAAUGGCUCAUUAAAACAGUUAUAGUAUAUUUGAUAAUGUUUUUACAUGGAUAACCGUGGGAAACUAGAGCUAAUACAUGCUUACAGACCUUCGGGUUGUAUUUAUUAGCUAUAACCAUUCGCAUUGCGAAUUGAGGAAUCAUAAUAACUGAUCGGAGCGAACUAAAGUUUCGCUAAAUCUUUCUAGUUUCUGCCCUAUCAGCUUUCGAUGGUAGUGUAUUGGACUACCAUGGCAGUCACGGGUAACGGAGAAUUGGGGUUCGAUUCCGGAGAAGGAGCCUGAGAAACGGCUACUACAUCUACGGGAGGCAGCAGGCGCGUAAAUUACCCAAUCCUAACUCAGGGAGGUAGUCACAAGAAAUAGUAUACCAGAUCCAACGGAUCUAGUUUUGCAAUGGACUUAGUUUAAAGCCUUAUUUGAAAUCUAUUGGAGGACAAGUCUGGUGCCAGCACCCGCGGUAAUUCCAGCUCCAAUAGCGUAUCUUAAUGUUGUUGCAGUUAAAAAGCUCGUAGUCGAAUUUCUGGCCGGGGAAGUCACGCCUCGCGUGUUCGGACCUAGGUCAUCCGGUUGGAAACUCUGAUGGUGUUUUAUCGCUCCUCUUUGGGAUCAGCCACUUUACUUUGAAGAAAUUAGAGUGUUUCAGGCAGGCUUUCGCUUGAAUACACCAGCAUGGAAUAAUGGAAUAGGACUACAAUCCUUUAAUGGUUGAUGACUGUAGUAAUGAUUAAUAGGGACAGUUGGGGGCAUUCGUACUACAGAGUCAG